rnacentral:ncRNA from 1 species
GUGGAGUUUGAUUCUUGCUAGGAGAUUUUGUUUUAUAGUUAUAGGUGUAUAUGUGAGUAUUUGGUGUGUGUAGACGAGAGGAAAGAAUUUGAAAUUUUUAUGAAAAGGGGGGCGGUUGUUAAGUUGUGUCACGCAGUACAAGGUAUUAAUUAAUGGGGGGAAACCCGAUUUGGUAAAUUAUGAUAAAUCUGACUAAACUUUGUGCCAGCAGUCGCGGUUAGACUUGGGGGUUAAAUGAAAAGUUUUAGUUAAAGUUAUUUUUGUUUUGGAAUUAGGAUUUUAAUUUAUGAAAAUUAGAGGUGAAAUACAUUUGUUUUGGAAUAAAUUGAAGUAGAAGGUAAGAUUUGAGGAAGCUUGCAAAACUGGGGCACAAACUAGGAUUAGAUACCCUAUUAUGCUUGAAGUAAGUGAGUAGGGGCUUGAUUAUUAAUAGAUAUAUUCUUGAAAUUUAGAGAGUUUGGCGGUAUUUUAGUCUGGUUAGAGGAACCUGUUUCGUAAAUGACACUACACGCAAUAUCUUGCUAAUUUUUGUUAUAUUGGUUUGUAUACCGCUAUUAUUAGAUAACUUUUGUAGAAUUAGUUAUUGGAAUUAGAAAGUUUAAGUAUAUUAGGUCAAGGUGCAGCUUAUAAAUUAGAGAGAAUGGGUUACAAUAAUAUUUAUUUAUAACGGAUUGCUGCAGGAAGAAUAUGGUGUCAGUGAAGGAGGAUUUAAUUGUAAUUAAAAAAGUUAAUAAGGUUUAUUGAUAUUAGAACUAAAUUAAGUACAUAUUGCCCGUCACUUUCAUUUAAGGUGAAAUAAGUCGUAACAUAGUAAGUGUACUGGAAAGUGUACUUGGAAUUAG